rnacentral:rRNA from 1 species
UCGGGAAUAUUGCGCAAUGGAGGAAACUCUGACGCAGUGACGCCGCGUAUAGGAAGAAGGUUUUCGGAUUGUAAACUAUUGUCGUUAGGGAAGAAAAAAGACAGUACCUAAGGAGGAAGCUCCGGCUAACUACGUGCCAGCAGCCGCGGUAAUACGUAGGGAGCAAGCGUUAUCCGGAUUUAUUGGGUGUAAAGGGUGCGUAGACGGGUAAUCAAGUUGGUUGUGAAAUCCCUUGGCUUAACUGAGGAACUGCAACUAAAACUGGUUAUCUUGAGUACAGGAGAGGUAAGUGGAAUUCCUAGUGUAGCGGUGAAAUGCGUAGAUAUUAGGAGGAACACCAGUGGCGAAGGCGACUUACUGGACUGAAACUGACGUUGAGGCACGAAAGUGUGGGGAGCAAACA